UACGUAGGGGGCAAGCGUUAUCCGGAUUCACUGGGUGUAAAGGGAGCGUAGACGGCGACGCAAGUCUGGAGUGAAAGCCCGGGGCCCAACCCCGGGACUGCUCUGGAAACUGCGUCGCUGGAGUACGGGAGGGGCAGGCGGAAUUCCUGGUGUAGCGGUGAAAUGCGUAGAUAUCAGGAGGAACACCGGUGGCGAAAGCGGCUCUCUGGCCUGUAACUGACACUGAGGCUCGAAAGCGUGGGGAGCAAACAGG
rnacentral:rRNA from 1 species